rnacentral:misc_RNA from 1 species
GAUGAAGAACGCAGCGAAAUGCGAUAAGUAAUGUGAAUUGCAGAAUUCAGUGAAUCAUCGAAUCUUUGAACGCACCUUGCGCUCCUUGGCAUUCCGAGGAGCAUGCCUGUUUGAGUGUCAUUAAAUUCUCAAGACCUGUCUGCUUUUUUGAUAGGUAUUGGAUUUUGGGGGUUGCAGGCUGUUUCAAAUAAAUAGCCUUGCUCUCCUUAAAUGUAUUAGUGGAGAAAAGCCAUUGAACUCCAUUGGUGUGAUAAAACCUAUCAAUGCCAGGAGCAAUAUCACUACUUCUCUCUGCUGUCUAACUGUGACUGUCUGUAUUAAUUAGUAUGGAUGGGGACAACUUGACCAACUUGACCUCAAAUCAGGUAGGACUACCCGCUGAACUUAAGCAUAUCAAUAAGCGGAGGA